CUACGGGUUGCUGCAGUGAGGAAUUUUGCGCAAUGGGGGAAACCCUGACGCAGCAACGCCGCGUGAGUGAAGAAGGCUUUCGGGUCGUAAAGCUCUGUCAGAUAGGAAAAAAGUUCAUAUGUAAAUAGCUUAUGAAUCUGAUGGUACUAUCAGAGGAAGCACCGGCUAACUCCGUGCCAGCAGCCGCGGUAAUACGGAGGGUGCAAGCGUUGUUCGGAAUUACUGGGCGUAAAGGGCGUGUAGGCGGUAUGGUAAGUCAGAUGUGAAAGCCCUGGGCUUAACUCAGGAAGUGCAUUUGAUAGUGCCAUCCUUGAGUAUGGGAGAGGAGAGUAGAAUUCCCAGUGUAGAGGUGAAAUUCGUAGAUAUUGGGAGGAAUACCCGUGGCGAAGGCGACUCUCUGGACCAAUACUGACGCUGAGACGCGAAAGCGUGGGGAGCAAACAGGAUUAGAUACCCGGGUAGUC
rnacentral:rRNA from 1 species